UUCAAAUUUCAAAAUUCAUAUUUAAUGAAAUAAAUGCACUUUUCGAAAUUUGAAUUCAGUUAAAAUCAUAAUUUAGAUUAUUUUUUUCCUCUAAAAUUGGAUCAAUGUCCAUUCAAAUUUCAAAAUUCAUAUUUAAUGAAAUGAAUGCACUUUUCGAAAUUUGAAUUCGGUUAAAAUUUAAAAAUACUUACUCUCUUAUGCGUCUUUCCAGAUCUGUCUGAAUGUUUAAAUUUUUCUAUACACAUGAUAUAAUUAAUUAAAAUACUUUAAAAUACUAAAAAUUAAUCUAAUCAAAUUACAAACUCCAAUGGCUAUCCAACAGAAUACCCGAAUCUAUCGAGAUCUGUUCCCGAAAAAUCUUUCGACUUUUCGUUUGGCGUAUCAGAUUUUCUUUUUUCAAGAAAAAUUUUUCAGCUUCCAAUACAGCAAACCAAAUUUUCGUUUUCCUAGGAAGAUUUUUUAGCUUUCUGAAUGACGAAUCAGAACCCAAAAUGGUGGAUCGGGUUCCCAUGCUCGAGGAAGAUGCUUUAGCUUCCUGAAUGGGUCAGCUUUCCCCAUUCCUGAGGAAACUUCCUCGGUUCCUGUGCGGGUAGGUGGCCUGGUCGAGCCCGCACGGCCGGCCCGACACUGGCCCUGCCCCACCGCCGCUCAGCCACCACCAAAACACAAAAACAAAACAGUUUUACCUUUCGACGUGGGCGAUUUGGCCUCGACUCGCUUGCGUGCUUGUAAUUGGAAUUGUGGUUUUUACGCCUAAAAAAUCGAUUAGUACAAAAUAGAAAUAGAUUAAAAAGAAAAUAGGGAAGAAAAGAUGAAAAGGACGAACCUUUACCUCGCUUGCCUCGGUCUCCACCAUCACACGACGUCUCGGCCGUUCUCUCUUCCUUCUUCUU
rnacentral:lncRNA from 1 species